UUUCCGUAGGUGAACCUGCGGAAGGAUCAUUACCGAGUGAGGGCCCUCUGGGUCCAACCUCCCACCCGUGUUUAUUAUACCUUGUUGCUUUGGCGGGCCCGCCUCACGGCCGCCGGGGGGCUUCUGCCCCCGGGCCGUGCCCGCCGAAGACACCUUAGAACUCUGUCUGAAGAUUGUAGUCUGAGUAAAAAUAUAAAUUAUUUAAAACUUUCAACAACGGAUCUCUUGGUUCCG
rnacentral:misc_RNA from 1 species